rnacentral:lncRNA from 1 species
CAGAACCCUGAUUCUUUUCCCUUCCAAAUUCCAGCGUCUCUCUCUUGUCCUUCUCGUCUUUGAUUGAUUAUUGGCUUGUCGACUUUGUCUCUUCUCCUUCCCCUUCCAAGGUUUGAGAUUUAUUGUUAUCAAUUAUCAUGUUUUAUUUUAAACACUUUGAUUUUAUCACUGUAUUUCAUUUUAUCUUCUUAAAAUUUUAUAUUUUCCUCCAAAUUGAAAAUUCAAUUAUGAAUUGAUUUAGGGACAAGGUUAUUUUUGUUUCAUAUUCUCUUGGCUUUGAAUAUUAUGUUGAGUAUUUUUUUUAUUUUCAUAUAUAAUUUCAGAUUUUGGAAAAUUUGUUGGAUUUUGUUGUUUGUUCUUCUUCUAUAUGAUAAAGAUUAAAAGCAGGCCAAACAAGCCAGCCAUGUUGCAAAUUAGUCCCUACAAAUACGUUCGUAAGAGUAAUUGCAAUUUGCAAGUCAUGAAUGUUUUAUUUUCCUCAGACAAAGUAUGAUAUUAGUUGUGUUAAACUUGUCCAAAGUUCAAAACUUGGUGCCCGAAACUUGUUCUGUCAUGACUCAUGAUGACUUCAUUUGUAUGUUCAGUGUUCAUGAAUAAAUAUAAUCGGUAAUCAAUUUUUUACUCUACAGGGUAUACUUGUCUUCAUUUAUUAUCAACCAGUUUUCUUGUCUUCAUUUAGUCGACAGGGUAUACUUUACAGUGUUCAUGGAAGAAAAGAUAGGCAUUCAAUUCAAGAAGAGAAAAGUUUCCAAUUAUCUUGCUGACCCCCUUUCUAUGGCUUAUAGAAAUUAACAUUAAUGACUUGGUGGAAUUCAUCAUAUUUUUACUUUUUUUUUUAGAUGUUUUGUGUGAUAAUCCAUAAAGAACAUUGGUAUUUUUUCCUUUUUUGAGAUGGUUACUUGGUUAGUGUUAUGUUUUAAUUGUAUUAACAUUUAAUACUCGUCUAACUUUAAUACUUUUAUUUGCUUUUAUUCAGGAUAGAUUGCAAUAGUCAACCUUCAGAAAAUCAUUCAAUAGGUGCCGCACAAUCGAGCUGUGCAAAGACUGACCGUGCAUGAGAACACUUUUCUUCAACUCGUUAUAUUGACGGUAAAGCACGUUUCACACGUCUUUAUUGCAACAAUAGCUUUAAAGGUGGUGGAAUUAACAGAAUAAAGUAUCAUCUUGCUGGAAUUAAAAGUCAAAUAUCUCAAUGUAAGAAAGUUCCUCUUGAUGUUAGAUUUAAAUUUCAAGUUAUUCUCAGAGAUUUAUCUAAAAAGAAACAAGAUGCUACAGAGGCUCAUGAUUGUACGCUUAAGGACAAUUAUAUAGAUUUAGAAACUGGAGGAGAGGAAAUAGAAUAGGAUAUUGAAGAAAUGAAUAUAUCAUUAGAAAAGCAAAGAUAAGAAAAAGGGAAGAGGAAAGCAAGUGAGGUAUUGAAACAUAUUUUGCUCCAAAGACUACUCCUGGAUCUCAACCUAGAUUAAAGAGUGCUUUAGCUGGCAAAUAAGCAAUAAAGAGAGCCCAUAUGUCUUGGGCUAGGUGGUUUUAUGAUGCUUGCAUUCCAUUUAAUGCUUUGCAAUCACCUUACUUUCAACUUGUUUUAGAUACCACUACUGCAAUUGGUCUAGGAUUUAAAGGUCCUUCUCAUCAUUACAUUCGUGUUAAUUUGUUGACAGAUUACAAGAAAGAAUGCCAAUUGCUUGUUGACACUUAUCGAAGUCAGUGGAUAAAUAAUGGAUGCACAAUUAUGGCCGAUGGUUGGACGGAUCAAAGACAUAGAACUUUGAUUAAUUUUUUAGUAUGUUACUCUUUUGGGAUUGUAUUUAUAAAAUCUUAUGAUGCAUCGGAUGUAGUGAAAGAUGCUCAAACAUUGUGUAAUUUAUUUUUUGAGAUAGUUGAAUGGGUUGGACCUCGUAAUGUAGUUCAUAUGGUAACUGAUAAUGCAG